AUGAAGAAUAUGCCUGCUUUGCAAACCCAACUAUCUACAUAUACAACAGGCCCAACCAUGAGAAUUAGAACGUCACUUGGCAGCUGGAUCCCUUUUCUGUCCUCAGAGACGAUGACACCUCAGGAAAGUGCUUACCUCCACGUACUUCCUGAAGCCUUAAAAGGUCAGGAGUACUUGUUGAGACACAUUUUAUUUUCUGCUGUCCAAUCUAAAGGCAUGACAGUGUUUUUCAGAGAGAUUUUAAUUCUACAAAAUGAUUCAGUAAAAGACUAAAUUUUGUCAUGUUAAAAACUACUAAAAUCAGGUCAUGGUACAAUGAUUUGCUCCAGCUUAUAAUAAUGAUCAUGAAAGUAUAACUCCUGCAUUUGUGUUUCUUAAACUAUCAUGUUUUAAAAAUUAUUUAAUAUUAUUUUAUCCUAAUCAUAUUAAGAUUAAACAAAGGCAUAUUUGUUUUUUAACUGGCAAAAAUGCAGGAAAGAAAGUGUAAACUUUUAAACAUAACCAAUAUUCAGAGUAAACUUUUAGAAAAUGUUAAAUUUAUCCCUCGAGUAAACUGUUAUUUGCUUAUAUGCCUUUAAAAAUCCACCAGGAAACUCUGUCCAUUACUCUGACUUGAUUGUACCAUUAGGACCUCUCCUGGUAAUUCUGUUUACCUCGUUUUUCAUAUUAAAAGCCAAAUGCUCAUUAAUGACUCUUAAUCAAAGAAGACAAAGGGAGCAGAGAAGUUAAAUAGGCAUCCUAAAGAUAUUGGGAUUCACUUGGAAGGAAAAAUAUAGAAAGCAAGUUUGUGGUUGGUAAAUAUUGAGAGGCAUUUAACAACUAAGGUCUCAUGUACGUCAACAUUAAAAAGCAGAAGCAAGCUGCUGGAAAGCUGGCUGCUGCAAAAAUGUUUGAGCUCUUAUCACAUGACAUUCUGAAAGCCUUUGGAAACAUUAAAACCUAAAAGUCACCACCCUACUUCCUUCUGAGAGUUUCUAAAUGCCACUGAGAGUUUCUAAAAUGCCCUAAUACCCUACAGCUCUUGCCUCUUGGAAUAAGGAUCCAGAAUGUUUUAGACGUUAUCUGGUUACAUUGGCAACAAUUAUCCUGAGUCUUAAAAUACUCCUUACAUCAAACUCACUUCUUAGAUUCUAUUAUGUUCACAAAAAUAGUAUCAUAAAAUGCAUAGAAACUGGCUGGAUCCUGACAAAUAAUUAUAGUUGGGUUUUUUUUUUAUUAUUAAAGCUCUGAUAAUAUUUAAUUCAUUCUUUUAAUUUUUAUGUUAUAACUUUUGACAUGUAUGGAUUAACUUUCAGAUGUUUUUCCAUUUUAAAGCAAUAAAUAAAAUGUAAUCUAAGAGCUCAUUUUUG
rnacentral:lncRNA from 1 species